GAUUAACGCUGGCGGCGUGCCUAACACAUGCAAGUCGAGCGGCAGCGCGUUUUACACUGCCUUCUGGAAGCUUCUAGUUGCAAGAGAAGAUUUAUUCAAGAAUUUUUUUAAAAUUCUGGGGGGCGGCCGAAGGGCGAGUUACGCUGGGGAACCAUCCCCCAAGGGGGGGAAAACGGAUCGAAAGGGGUGCUUAUACCGCAAAUUGGCCUUGGGUUUAAUCCUUCGGGCGGCUUGGGAACGGCCCGCGUAAGAUUAGAUAGUUGGUAGGGUAAAGGCCUACCAAGUCGUCGAUCUUUAACUGGUUUGAGAGGAUGAUCAGUCAGACUGGAACUGAGACACGGUCCAGACUCCUACGGGAGGCAGCAGUGAGGAAUCUUCCACAAUGGGCGAAAGCCUGAUGGAGCAACGCCGCGUGCAGGAUGAAGGCCUUCGGGUUGUAAACUGCUUUUAUAAGUGAGGAUUAUGACAGUAACUUAUGAAUAAGGAUCGGCUAACUACGUG
rnacentral:rRNA from 1 species